CUUAAUUUCUUAUUGGAUUCCCCGCCACUUUGCAAAUCAUAAUCUCUCGUUUUCUCGUUUUUAGUUUUUUUAUGGGUGAUUCAAAAAUGAAAGUUGAAAAUAUGUAAGCACAUCACGCUUUGUUUUCACCCUGUAGCUAUAUCACGCUAUUGAAUCUGUGGAUAUCUUCUGCGUUACACAACAAGAGAACACUUCGCGGAGGAAUACCAUCCGGUGAUACUUCGUACUAUAUUUUAUAACCACUAAAUAUCUAAUUUAAAUAGUGCGGAGGAAUACCAUCCGGUGUGACUUCGUGCUAUAUUUUUUAACCACAAAAUAUCUAAUUUAAAUAGUUGUUUUUGUGGUUUUAAACGAGCUUCCUAGAAUAAAAUGUUUUAAGUUUUUAAAAUAUAAAGUUGAGAGAAACUGGAAUUUAUUUCCAUUCAGUAAAGGUUUUUGUGCUUGAUGUCAACUGUUGCAGCAAAUCUUUCUAAUAAUAUGAACUAUAUUUGUGUGAUUGAUGAGAGGCAUUAUUAUGAAAGAAGCGUUGACAUUAUGACGGAAUAAUUCAGAUAUGUAUUUCAAACUUAACAGGAGGACUCCAAAGCAGUGCGAUUACAUCAUUCCAUCAACUAUGCUGCAAUUACCGAAUUUCCAGACCAAGAAAAUGCAUUUCGUGUUCAUAAUGUGCUUGAUAAUUGUUUUCGUGCACCAAUCAUCACCAAAAUCUUCUGUGGACUACAAAACAAAGUUUGCUUUGGCUCAAGCUCACUAUGAGAGAGUGAGAUGGAACACUGAAUGCUCACGACCACAACCUCGAGUGUUCCGGGUUGGAACACCGGAGUUGAAACUUGUGCCAUCUGCCACCAUACUUCACAGAUGUGGGGACUCUACGGGAUGCUGUGACUUUUCAGUUGAAAGUUGUGUGGCAAAAACCAAAGAAAGAUUAAAACUCUACUUUUUUGUAAAAUCUUCAAAUGGCCGACAAUGGAGGAAAAAUAGGAGAUUUAAAGUGACAAAAUUAUUUUUGUCCAAUCAUACUUCGUGUCAUUGUGUUGAUAAAAGAAAUAUACCUAGGUGAUGUUGUACCUUGUUGCAUGAUCUUCUUGUUUUUCAAUUAUUUGGUUAACAAUGAUCGCAAUGUCAACAAUGGAGAAAGAAUAAAAGACUGAAAAUGACGAAAUUAUUUUUUUUUCGAACUAUACUUCGCGUCACUGUGUAGAAAAGAAAUAUAUAAAGGUGACAUGCAUCAUUA